AUAUCAAGGACCCAGUUGUAGCAGCAUAUUUCGCAGAUAUUUUUGUUGACAACUCCUCAUCAAUUACAUACAGGACAUACGAUAUUCUAAACAACUAUCCAUUCUCAACCAAGGCGACGGAAGAUAUUACAAUCCUUGAAAGUUUAAUCAAACGGUUGGAAAAUCUUUAUUCAUUUGAGGCGAGUUUCCUUUUGAUUGCAACAUGGAAUCGUGUUAAAGCAAAGGCGUCUGCACUAAAUCGUAAUAACCCAGCAACGUUCCAACUGGCUAUCGUUUCAAAUGGUGUACGGACUUAUUCCUUAACAAUAUACGGACAUGAAUUGAUGAACUGGGCUUUAACGUCGAGAGAUAAAACAAUUCCUGUAUGGAUCGGUCACGCCGGAGAGAAUGGAACCACAUUCAACCACUUGUUCUCCUUCAAACCGCAGGCACUUCGGAUGGAUUUGGGUUGUAAAUCAGGAGGAAUUAGUGGACUCUGUUUGAAGAACAUUGAUGAAAACAUCUCCGUAUUAAGCCACCAUAGUGUUGACUGUAUAAAGUGGUACAAUAAAAACCGUAACCGAAAACAGAACAUUAAUCUCAUCUCACAACGUCUACCUAUGUGCCCAUGUGACGUCGAUCUUGCCCGAUGGGACCCGUGGUUUUGGCCAAUUCAGACCCAAGUGCGUCAGCAAAAUAACAAUAGUGUGUGCGUUGACAUGAUGCUACGAGAAGCUUUC